rnacentral:rRNA from 1 species
CCUACGGGUGGCAGCAGUGAGGAAUAUUGGUCAAUGGGCGCGAGCCUGAACCAGCCAAGCAGCGUGAAGGAUGACUGCUCUACGUGUUGUAAGCUUCUUUUAUAAGGGAAUAAAGGGAGGUACGUGUCUCUGUUUGUCUGUCUUUUAACAAUAAGGAUCGGCUAACUCCGGGCCAGCAGCCGCGGUAAUACGGAUGAUCCGAGCGUUAACCGGAUUUAUUGGGUUUAAAGGGAGCGUAGAUGGCUUGUUAAGUCUGAUGUGAAAGGUUGCGGCUCAACCGUGAGAUUGCAUUUGAUACUGGCCGCCUAGAGUACAGGUGAGGUAGGCGGAAUUCGUAGUGUAGCGGUGAAAUGCUUAGAUAUCACGAAGAACACCGAUUGCGAAGGCAGCUUACUAAACAGCAACUGACAUUGAUGCUCGAAAGUGUGGGUAGCAAACAGGAUUAGAUACCCUUGUAGUC